UGAAGUGAGUGGAACGCUUGGGGAGGUUGUUCAGUGACAUGCGGGGGUGGAACUAGAUCACGAACACGCACUUGUGAUAAUCCUACACCGAGAUUGGGAGGUCAGCUCUGCAAUGGACAAUCUUCAGACUCAACAUCCUGCAACACGCAUAUCUGUUCUGGCUGUACCUUUCCUUUUGAUUGUUUCGACAUCCUCAAUACUGGACAAAACAAUACAGGCCUUUAUUAUAUAUGCCCGGGUAACAUAAGCCAAGAAUCUGUUCCAAUUCAAGUUCUUUGUAACAUGGAAGCAUAUGGAGGGGGCUGGACGGUCAUUCAGCACAGAAAUCGGGGAUACACAGAGGUAAAUUUCAACACCACUUGGAAUGAAUACAAACGAGGUUUUGGGAAUGUUGGAGGGAAUUAUUGGUUGGGAAACAACUCCAUUCAUAAAUUGACCUCAAAAUACAACAAAUCACUGUAUAUCAGAUUGAGACAUACACAAAAUGUUUCAUUUGAAGUUCAAUAUUCUGAUUUUUACAUCCCCGAUGAAAAUGACGGCUACAGACUUUCCUUAGGG